GACGUAGGGCGCGAGCGUUGUCCGGAUUUAUUGGGCGUAAAGAGCUCGUAGGCGGUUUGUCGCGUCUGCUGUGAAAACUGGAGGCUCAACCUCCAGCCUGCAGUGGGUACGGGCAGACUAGAGUGCGGUAGGGGAGAUUGGAAUUCCUGGUGUAGCGGUGGAAUGCGCAGAUAUCAGGAGGAACACCGAUGGCGAAGGCAGGUCUCUGGGCCAUUACUGACACUGAGAAGCGAAAGCAUGGGGAGCGAACAGG
rnacentral:rRNA from 1 species